AUUGAACGCUGGCGGAAUGCUUUACACAUGCAAGUCGAACGGCAGCACGGGGCAACCUGGUGGCGAGUGGCGAACGGGUGAGUAAUACAUCGGAACGUGCCCAAUCGUGGGGGAUAACGUAGCGAAAGUUACGCUAAUACCGCAUACGAUCUACGGAUGAAAGCGGGGGGAUCGCAAGACCUCGCGCGAAUGGAGCGGCCGAUGUCAGAUUAGGUAGUUGGUGGGGGUAAAGGCUCACCAAGCCGACGAUCUGUAGCUGGUCUGAGAGGACGACCAGCCACACUGGGACUGAGACACGGCCCAGACUCCUACGGGAGGCAGCAGUGGGGAAUUUUGGACAAUGGGCGCAAGCCUGAUCCAGCCAUUCCGCGUGCAGGAUGAAGGCC
rnacentral:rRNA from 1 species